UACGUAGGGUGCAAGCGUUGUCCGGAAUUAUUGGGCGUAAAGAGCUCGUAGGCGGUCUGUUGCGUCGGCUGUGAAAACCCGGGGCUCAACCCCGGGCCUGCAGCCGACACGAGCAGACUAGAGUUCGGCAGGGGAGACUGGAAUUCCUGGUGUAGCGGUGAAAUGCGCAGAUAUCAGGAGGAACACCGGUGGCGAAGGCGGGUCUCUGGGCCGAUACUGACGCUGAGGAGCGAAAGCGUGGGGAGCGAACAGG
rnacentral:rRNA from 1 species